GGAGCUACCUCUGGAAAUGUUUUACAAGAUUACAUUUUUAUUAGAACUGCACACUGUUGUCAGGUUAUAAUUAUCCAUUAUGAUAAAUCAAGUUAAUAUAUUUAUUUUUCUACUGGCUCCAAAGUAGCCUAAAUCAAGUAUUUCCAAAUUCAGACAUCCCAACUCUCCCGGAAGUUCCGCUCUCCAUAGUGAUAGCGCCCGGACCGACAUCCAGUGACAUCUCCUCUUGAACUACAAGCUUGUCACGUGACCGCCAUUCCUGCUCCGGUUUCAAGUUAAUUGGCGGGCUUUGUUCAUUGGUUGGCGCCAAUUGCUGCAGGCCUGCAGGUUGACCAGGAUUUGACCCGCAGCAGGAUGGCUUGUGAACACCGCGUAGACGCCAUGGAGCAGGAGCUGGAGUUGGAACAAGAGCUGGAGCAGGCCGAGAGGACGGAGGACCGAGUCGUG